UCCAGGCUCCACCUCCCCCAAAACCUAGCUGCCACUCGACUGCUGUUCCCCUCUUGCUCUCUCCCUUGCCCUCACGGCGGCGGCGGCCGGCCAUCGCUCGCUUUUCUCCGCCGUCGACGACCAGUCCCCUUCCUCCUCCAUCGCCCCUCUCCUGCGGAUCGGAAAUGAUUUCUCCUCGUCCCGAUUUGACCUCUGGUUCAACCGAUAUGAAGCAAGCGGCGGCCGCGCCCGCGAAGAGCACCGGUUCGUGCGAGGAUGCUGGCCAAGAGAGAUCAAGGAGGAGAUAGCUGGCGGUCACUGCGGCGGAGUGAAUCUGCCUGGAACUUGUUCGUUCUUGAUGUCAUUCUCAAGAGCACUGCAUCUAGGCAGUGGAUUUUGCUUGGAUCCGCUUGUGCUUUGACUCCGGUCUGAUGGUAUUUGGUUAAAAAAUGUCAGGUCUACUUUCUUCCCUUUCCCUUACCUCAAAUGAUUCUCUUAUGGUUUGUGGCUGGAAUGGAGCAAUCGAUUUGGUAAAAAAUGUCACUCAGUGCAAGCUACAAGACUUGGCCUUGUGCUGCUGGAGCAGAGGUUGGCUGCCUACCACUGCUGUGUUGUGUGCUGCGACAUUUAAUCACCAAACAAGUACUAAUAAUCUACUGAUUUAUCUUAUGUUAAAUGACAGGAACUCCUAUUAUCUAUCCUACUGUUUUUUGGGUUGCACAAUUGGAACUGUCAAAGAUGGGAGGAUGUGUUGGUUGAUGUUCUAAUGCUAUCUGAUCAUUUUCUUCUCCAAUGAGAAAAAAAAAUGAAGCUGGCAUUGCAACUCCUGCAAUAUAAAUCUGGGCAACCGUUCAGCCUUCAUAUAUCAUAAUGUGUUCCCAGAUUUCGAAUGAUAUGUUACACAUGAACUGAUUAGGAUGGCUAGGAGAAAUUUGGUUCUUUCUCCAGAUGACGCAGUAACGAUGUAAUGACCUGAUAAGCAUGUACUUAUACAACAGCCAAGUAGAAAAUUGCAUUUCAUUGUUCAUAACAACUGAUUUGGUAAACAUUUUGUGGACCUAACUUAUGUCUCAUUUUUGCCUUGCUGCAUCUAACCUGCUCCAUAGAAUCAUUUCGCCGAUGUCCUGACUUGUGCGCUCUGCUUACUUUGAUGUCUCAGGAACAUUAUGCUGACAAAGUGACAAUUAGUCUGGACUGUAGUCUUGGCCUGAAACAUAUUUCCCUGCAGGCUUAGAAUGCAUAUUACAACCCAUAACGUAUAUUUGCAACUGUUGAUACUUUGAUUUGGUUUACUUUUAGAACAUAACCUGGAAUUUUUUUCUGUUCCCAAAUUUUGGUAAGUUAACAUGUUUUUGGAGUAUUUUCUUAUUUUGAAAUUUUGGUCCAACUAGCUCCUACCAUUUCUAACUUUCAUCUCUUAUUAAUUAACAUUAUGAUUACGUUGGAAAAACAUACCUGUUUAACAGGUAGUUGCCAGGUCAACAAUGAUGCCUUUGUUUUAAAGAUUCUAGAUUAGAACUGAAGCUACAUCAAGUUACAAACUAGGCCUCUUGCAGUAUAUGGUCAAGAAUAAGAUCCACUUUCAUGACAUCAAAUUCGUAUUUCAACAAUUCAAUGAGGGAAGUAUUUCAUCGAUGCGACCAAUCAGACUUAUUUCUAUGCUUUUGACUUCAAAUUCAACCUGCUACUCAAGAUUCAUUGGAUUGACAUGAGCAUCAAAAUUAGUGUAAUUAGCAAAGCAUUGCUGAGAAUCAAUUCAUUUUAUAUAUUUUGCACCAAAA